UACAGAGGGGGCAAGCGUUAUUCGGAAUUAUUGGGCGUAAAGGGCGCGUAGGCGGCCUGGCAAGUGGAAGGUGAAAUCCCUCGGCUUAACCGAGGAACUGCCUCCCAAACUGCUUGGCUUGAGACCGGGAGAGGUGAGUGGAAUUCCCAGUGUAGCGGUGAAAUGCGUAGAUAUUGGGAGGAACACCAGUGGCGAAGGCGGCUCACUGGACCGGUACUGACGCUGAUGCGCGAAAGCGUGGGGAGCAAACGGGG
rnacentral:rRNA from 1 species